UUUCACUUUUUCCGUCUUCAGAAAGGUCAUGCUUCGGGAUGAUGCAAAACAAGGAGCUCCCAAGGACGGGAAUUCUCCUCUUGAACUUUUCCAGGUAGAUAUUUACCCCCUCAGGAUCCAUUUGACUGAGACAAUGUACAGAAUGAUGUGGGAAUAUUUUUUCCCUGAAGAGGAACAGGAUACUCAACGACGACAGGAAGUCUGGAAGGUUUCAACUACUGUCAGCUCCAAACGGGUGAAGAAAGGCUCCUCUCAGGAUGCGUCAACAUCAAAUGUUUCCUCAACAAGAGAAUCUUAAGUUCCUUAUAAAUCUACUAUCCCUACAGUUUCCUCAAAUAGUCAGUCCUCUCCAGCAGACACAUUGUAACCGUCUAAAGUGCAGAACUUUAAAGCAAACCUCGUCUGUGGUACUACCCCGGAAUUGAGAAGGACUUCCUCUUUUGACAGAUCAUGGGAAGAAAAUGUUGCAGAAUCUGUUGCCAAUGAACUAGUUUUACAGCUUCACUCUUCAGCCACUUCUUCCUCGAAGAGUGGGCCACUUGGUUUUGCCGAGCAACAAGAUGAAUCUUCUCGAAACAAACUCAAGGAUUCAAGACCCGACAAAUCUGGUUGGUCAUCUCAUGAAGAGAAGAAAUUAGUAUAGUCACACAAUGAGAAAAGAUUUAGACCGCGAAAGCUAAUGGAGUUUCACAAUAUCAAGAUCAGUCAGGUGGAGCUGUUGGUAACUUAUUAAGGAUCGAGAUUUGUUGUGAAUGAUCUUAAGUUGCUCAUGGAUACAUUUCACCGUGUGGAGUUUACUGGCACAUGGAGACGACUCUUCUUGCGAGUGAGGAAGCACAUUAUCUGGGGAGUCCUGAAGUCCGUGAUCGGAAUGCAGUUAUUGAAGAGUCAUGAUAAACAAUGAUCCAAAUUGAGUGGCCUUUAAUUGCAACCUACACGACUAAAUUGUGAUAUUUUUCCUUCGGUUGGGACUCAUGCUGAAGCUUUUAGACUUCAACAUGGUUGACCAUGCUUUUCCCCAACAAGCAAUGCAGGAUUUGUUUGUAGUGAUAUUAACUUUGAUAAGUUGAGAAGAAUUCAAGUUAAAAGUGUGUUGGGAAUCUCACCAUUUGAGUUCUUCUCAAGUAUCAGGUGCUAAGCCUUUUCCAUUAUUUUCGUCUUUAUAUUUCUUUCCCUACAUAUUGUGCGGGGUAAAAAAUUCAAAGACAAAGCACAUAGCCAGAGUGAGCACAAUGGGACUGGUGUUCCUGACAGCGAUCUAAAUUUUAGUGACGAUGAAGGAGGUCUGGCCGAGAAGAAUGAACAGUAUCCUAUAUCCCGGCCUAAGCGUACCAGUGACGGAGCAGGUGAUGGUUUUGUUUCUUCCAUAAGAGGCCUUUUCAACACCCAACGUCGCAAGGCGAAGAAGUUUGUUCUACGGACAAUGCGGGGUGAAGCAGAAAAUGACGGUGAAUGGAGUGAAAGUGAUUUGGAGUCCUCUCCAUUUGCUAAGGCAGCUCACCAUAACUAAAGCAAAGAGGCUCAUUAGGUGACACGAAGAAGUUCCGCAGCAGAGGGCAGAAAGCUUCAUCGUCACAAGCAAGAGAAUCCCUUCCGUCUUCUCCAAGUGAGACUACAGCGUUGAGAGCGACUCCUCCAGCGGAUCCUCUCCCUACGAAGAUUUCCAUGAAUAGAAAUGCAUUACUUAAGAGUACAUGAAGCCCUUGAAUCUUGCUCUCAUCAGUGGAGAGAUACCUGUCUGUGCAUGACUAAGAAGAGCAAGUACAAAUUUUGAAUUGCGGCAGGUUGAGACAUUUUGAAUUAGUUAUAUCUGUGGUAAAUCAAUUGUCUAGGUUGAGGGAGCUUCUCACAGACUGCUCAUUUACCUACAGCAGAUCACUUAUUUGUUUGUAUAUUGUCGUAGCUUCUUGUUAGGAAAGUAUACGAGCUCGGUAAUGAGCAAAGUUGUAAAAUUCUGUAUGUAGAGGAAUUCGCAUCAUUGGAAAUAAAUGAGAAGUCCCACUCUCUCUC